rfam:Gorilla gorilla gorilla genomic chromosome, chr16, whole genome shotgun sequence
AUACUCGGUAGUGUGUAAGUCUGAUGCCCCGAUGUUCACGCACACAUUUGACGUGCGCCUCCCUCCAGCCUUGUUACCAUGUCGGCACAUUGCCUAUCUGACG